rnacentral:lncRNA from 1 species
GUCCUUGAGAAACAAAAGUUGUAUUUCAGGAUCUGCCAAAAGAAGAGGGGACCCUAGUAAUCAGGCGUUCACCUGGGAUCCCUGGAGAUGCACCAAGAGCACAACGCCAGAUCAACACAAUUCCCGAUUGGACUGCACUUAUCUGAUCCCAUGCUAGAUGCCUCACAGAGAAGAGGGGAGAGCCUCUUUGAAGAAAAAUAAUGGCAUCCAAGACCAUAAAAUUUUAAAGUAACAAUGUCUGGCAUGAAAUAAAAUACUAGGUGGACUCAUUCACGACUCACAUAUUGACCAGACACAAACCUAAAAAUAAUGACAAUUAUUGUGUUAAAGAACAUUGAAAUCAAGAUAGGGAAUUUUACCAGAGUCCUAGAUCUCCAAAAAAUAUCAAAUGGAAAUUCAAAAACUGAAAAAGCCAAUAAUAUGAAUUAAGCUGUAAAUAGAUGUAUUUUAUAGUUAUAUACAACUGAAAAGAGGAUUAGGAAAUAUGAAUGAUAUGGUAAAUAAAAUUAAACUUAAUUAACAAUACACCUAACAGUGGUAGAAUAUUCUUUUUCUAAAGUCAUAUUUGCCAAAUUUUUUCAAAAUUGAUAAAUUGCUAGGUCAUAAGUCUCAACAAAUUUCAAGGAUUGAAAUCAUGUUCUCUUAACACAAUGGAAUUAAACCAAAAAUAACACAAACAAAAAUAAGCACAAGAAAAUCCUCAAACUCUUAGAAGUUAAGCAAUUCAUUUUAAAAUAAACCCUGGGUAAAAAAAGAUACCAAGUGAAGCUAAAUGAUAUUUCACACUUAAUGAAAAUAAAAAUGUACUGUAUCAAAAUAUGUUGAAGGCUGCUAAUGCUGUACUUACAGACAAAUGUACAACCAUCAAAUCCACAUGUCAAAGAAGCUUUAUUAAAAAAUAAUGCUUUCACUAUCCAGCUCAGAAAACUAGGGGAGGAAAAAAAAUUUCCAGCAAAUUAAACCCAAGAAUGUAGGUGAAUGGAAAUAAUAAAGGUAAGAGCAGAAAUUAAUAAAAUAGAAACUGUUAGUACAAUAGAGAAAAAUCACCAAAGCUGAAAUUUGUUUCUCUGAUGACUAAGUUAGUUUUUUUGAAGACUGAAAAAUAGAAAAAGAGUCCCCAUAAUCAAUAUCAGGAAUCAAAAAAAAAGGAAGUCACUACAGAUCAUAUGGAUAUUUAUAAGAUGAGAAGAGAUGUUGGAAAGAAAUUUAGGCAAGAAAUUUUUAUAACCUUUGAUGCAAUGGACAAAUCCCUAAGAAAAUAGUUUACCAUGACUGAUAGGAAAAGAAAAAUGUAACAUCGGAAUGCCUAUUUAAAACUUAAAUAUGGACUUAAAACUUAAAUUUGUAAUUAAAUACCUUCUUUCCACUAAGAAACCUCCAGGUAUAGAUAACUUCACUUGUGAACAUUUCCAAGCCUUAAGGAAUAUGUAAUCCCACUCUUACACAAAUACUUCCCAAAACAGAAAAAGAGAAAAUACAACCCAAUUUGUUUUGAUAAGGCCAGCAUAGUCUUGAUAUCAAAGCCUAGCAAGAAGAGUAUAAGGAAAGAAAUUAUAGGCUGGUUUUUCUCAUGAACAUAGAUGCAUGAUCCUAACAAAAUGUUAGCAGAUUGAAUCCAGCAAUUUAUAAACACAAAACCAAAAACACAUUGUGAAAAGUUUGAUUUAUUCCAGAAAUGCAGGGUUGAUUUAACACUCUAAAAAUCAGUAAACCGAAAUUCCCCCAAAUUAACUGAAUAAAGGAGAAAAAAUAUGUCAGAUGCAGAAAAAGGAUUUGACAAAAUUCAAACCCCAAUAAUGAUCAAAAAGGAAAGAAUUUUACCAAAGUGGAUAUAGAAGGGAAGUUCCUUAAUUGGAUGAACAGGUAUAUAUAAAAAGACUUAAGUGUAAGCAUCAUACUUAAUUUUGAUAUAUAACAAGUUUUCUUCCUUAAGUCAAGAAUGAGACAAAGAUGCUAAUAUCACCAUUUUAAUUUAACAUUGUAAUAGAGGUCCUAGUCAUUACAAUAAAGCAAGAAAAAAAUAGAAUGAAUAGAAAGGAAGAAAUAAGACAAUCAUUAUAUAUAGAAUAUUCCAAAAAAUCUAUAAACUAUUAGAAUUUUUAAAUUAACUUAGGAUAUUAAAGAUCAAUACAAAAAUCUUCUUUAUUUCUCUAUGUUAGGAGUAAAGAAUUAAAGAUGAAAAACGGAUCCUUAACCCACUGAGUGAGGCCAGGGAUUGAACCCACAACCUCAUGGUUACUCAUUGGAUUUGUUUCCACUGGGCCACAGUGGGAACUCUGAGAGUAGCUAACCUUUAUCGGGCAUUUACAAUGGACCGGUAAGUACGCUGUGUACCAGUACCAGUAUGUGUGAUGUGCUGAGUGUCUGACAUGCUCUCACUCUCUUAAUCCACAAAAAUCCAUGUGAAACGGGUGCCCUCCUUCUUGCAAAGGCACACAUGAGAAAACCGGAGGCACCCAGAGGUAAAAGCAGCCUCCUCUGGUUCUCCAGCUAACAAAGGGUAGAUGCAGGGCUGAAACCCAGCAGGGUAUCUCUGGGGCCUUUUCUCCACAGGGAAGGUCUUCCUGGUAUGAGUUGGGCAUAAAGGACCCCCCUCCACCCUCUUUGUCUGCCAGGCUGCUCCCAGCCUUUUUCCCUAACCCUGUCUCCCUUCUUUUCUAACCUACUUACUGCAAGUUGUGAACGGGGCCAGUUGCCACUCCUUCCUCUUGCAACCACACCCAUGCCAAAGUUAAAGGGCCAUGAACAUUCGAGAAAUAAUCUCGAUUUUUCUCUCUCUCCAUCUCCCCCUCUCUCCAAUUUUCCCCUCUAGUCCUAGAUAGCUUUAGGGGGGAAAAAUGAGACUUGGAGUUCUUAUUUGCACAUCAACAUUCAGGAUGAUCUUUGAGCUCAGGUAUUGUAGUCCCAGCAUUUUGAGGGGUUUUUUUUGUUUGUUUGUUUUGUUUUGUCUAAAGUACAGUUGAUUGACAGUGUUAUGCCUAAAAAUGUCCAAGCAAUUUGAGUUUUGAGAAGCAGCUAAUCGCCAGAGUUGCCCUGUAAACUCUGAUGUUUUCCCCUUCGGGUUGCAAAGCUCUGCACUUUAACAUUUCCAGCCCUUAAAGAAGGGCUUUCAGCUGUGUCUAAUCUGCUACCAAGGCCGUUCAUUGAGUUUAUUAUAUUCAUUUUAAACAGAGUAAAUGAGUUAUUCUGGGCCAGAUAGUUUCAAUUAUCCGAAGCACUGGGGCAUUUGUUUCUGUCCUGUGUCAUUCCUGGUGAAUUUCACCUGUGAUGUCUUCUUUCCUUGAGUGUUUUGGGAACUUUGGCCGAUCUUUUGAGAGCGUUGUCUGUGCAGAAAAUUCUCACAGGCCUGAUUGGAAGUUGAGGUCCUCUGGAGAGAAUUAGCCCUCGCUCCUCAAAGUCACUGACCCUGGACCAUAUGAAAUUAAAAUUUCACCCUGCGUUUUCUAUCCCCACCAUCCUACACCCGGGUAGUGUGCAUUUAGGCUGCUGGUUUGUGGUUACUGGUUCUCCACGGGCAGAGCACGGGUGGGAGGCAUUUAUUUCCCCCCCUUCAGCUCAAAGCCCCCUUCUGAAUAUCAGAGUUUCCUUCUCAUUCAUCCUUCCCUUAGGACUUUGACCCAGAGGCUUCCAGAUAAGUAGGGGGUCUGCUAUUAGACACCACCCCUCCCCAGCAGCCCUCUGCUUUAUCUUUUGUCCUCUAAACCUUUAUCAAAGCACAGAUUCUGCAUCUCCGGGGUUUGAUCACACACCUGCAGGGCAUAAGUGUGAUUUGGUGGUAGCCUGUCUCCCAGGUCUCCCUUUUUCAUUUCCUUUGGGAUUCUGCCCAUCCCUUAAUUUAGCGCCUGCUCAGUACUGCAUUUAAAUGAAGGCAGUGUCUUUUUCAACAUUUGAUCUGGUUUUUUGGUUUGUGGGUCUAUCAGGAUAUCUUAUCAGUCACACCUCUGGAAACGGGGGCCCCAAAGCCUGUUCCAUUGAGCUUGAUUAUUUUCUGCCAGGUGCUAAGGAAGCCCAGGGUUUCAACAGGGCUCUGAUUUCAUGAUGGCAUCAUUCUACAAGCUACCUACAAGCUACUAUUAGAAGUGAUUCUGGAGUUCCCAUUGUGGCUCAUCAGGUUGAGGACCCGACAUAGUCUCUGUAAGGAUGUAGGUUCGAUCCCUGACCUCUCUCAGUGGGGUAAGGAUCCGGUGUUGCCACAAGAUGUGGUGUAGGUCACAGAUGUGGCUCAGAUCUGGUGUCACAGUGGCUGUGGCAUGGGUGGCGAAUUCUGCUCGGAUUCAGCUCCUAGCCUGGGAACGUCCAUGUGCCACAGGU